GGUUUGAUCACGGAAUUGGAUGCAUCAGCCUACCAUGAGACAUACGGCCUCAAUCCCAAAACUCUCUCAUCAAUACAUUCUUGAUAUUCAUUAUCUCACAUAGUGAUCAAGAAUAAGAAACAAUAAUAAGAAUCAAGGUUAGAGCUAAACUAAACUCAAUGUUUUUUCUAAAAGGCAUUUCAUCCUUAUUCUCUUAUAAUACCAGAUGUUGUGUAUAUUAUGAUAUUAUCUUUCCUUUACGAGAUAUUACUCCAUCAAAAUUGUGGAAUCGUUUCCCCUACAUUGGGGUCGGGAGCAGAAGUAAGCAAAUGAGACCUUUUUAAGGGGCCAUCAGUCCUCCAAUUGUGUGAAAGAGAGACUCCGCCCAGUCUUCUUUGAAAAGC
rnacentral:lncRNA from 1 species